ACGCUGGCGGCGUGCCUAAUACAUGCAAGUAGAACGCUGAAGGAGGAGCUUGCUUCUCCGGAUGAGUUGCGAACGGGUGAGUAACGCGUAGGUAACCUGCCUGGUAGCGGGGGAUAACUAUUGGAAACGAUAGCUAAUACCGCAUAAGAGUAGAUGUUGCAUGACAUUUGCUUAAAAGGUGCAAUUGCAUCACUACCAGAUGGACCUGCGUUGUAUUAGCUAGUUGGUGGGGUAACGGCUCACCAAGGCGACGAUACAUAGCCGACCUGAGAGGGUGAUCGGCCACACUGGGACUGAGACACGGCCCAGACUCCUACGGGAGGCAGCAGUAGGGAAUCUUCGGCAAUGGACGGAAGUCUGACCGAGCAACGCCGCGUGAGUGAAGAAGGUUUUCGGAUCGUAAAGCUCUGUUGUAAGAGAAGAACGAGUGUGAGAGUGGAAAGUUCACACUGUGACGGUAUCUUACCAGAAAGGGACGGCUAACUACGUGCCAGCAGCCGCGGUAAUACGUAGGUCCCGAGCGUUGUCCGGAUUUAUUGGGCGUAAAGCGAGCGCAGGCGGUUAGAUAAGUCUGAAGUUAAAGGCUGUGGCUUAACCAUAGUACGCUUUGGAAACUGUUUAACUUGAGUGCAAGAGGGGAGAGUGGAAUUCCAUGUGUAGCGGUGAAAUGCGUAGAUAUAUGGAGGAACACCGGUGGCGAAAGCGGCUCUCUGGCUUGUAACUGACGCUGAGGCUCGAAAGCGUGGGGAGCAACAGGAUUAGAUACCCUGGUAGUCCACGCCGUAAACGAUGAGUGCUAGGUGUUAGACCCUUUCCGGGGUUUAGUGCCGCAGCUAACGCAUUAAGCACUCCGCCUGGGGAGUACGACCGCAAGGUUGAAACUCAAAGGAAUUGACGGGGGCCCGCACAAGCGG
rnacentral:rRNA from 1 species